rnacentral:misc_RNA from 1 species
UCUCCGUUGAUGAACCAGCGGAGGGAUCAUUACCGAGUUUACAACUCCCAAACCCCUGUGAACAUACCAUUUGUUGCCUCGGCGGUGCCUGCUUCGGCAGCCCGCCAGAGGACCCAAACCCUUGAUUUUAUACAGUAUCUUCUGAGUAAAUGAUUAAAUAAAUCAAAACUUUCAACAACGGAUCUCUUGGUUCUG